AGUGAACGCUGGCGGUAGGCCUAACACAUGCAAGUCGAACGGCAGCACAGUAAGAGCUUGCUCUUACGGGUGGCGAGUGGCGGACGGGUGAGGAAUACAUCGGAAUCUACUUUUUCGUGGGGGAUAACGUAGGGAAACUUACGCUAAUACCGCAUACGACCUACGGGUGAAAGCAGGGGAUCUUCGGACCUUGCGCGAUUGAAUGAGCCGAUGUCGGAUUAGCUAGUUGGCGGGGUAAAGGCCCACCAAGGCGACGAUCCGUAGCUGGUCUGAGAGGAUGAUCAGCCACACUGGAACUGAGACACGGUCCAGACUCCUACGGGAGGCAGCAGUGGGGAAUAUUGGAUAAUGGGCGCAAGCCUGAUCCAGCCAUACCGCGUGGGUGAAGAAGGCCUUCGGGUUGUAAAGCCCUUUUGUUGGGAAAGAAAAGCAGCAGGUUAAUACCCCGCUGUUCUGACGGUACCCAAAGAAUAAGCACCGGCUAACUUCG
rnacentral:rRNA from 1 species